AGCAGCAGCCACGGGAAUACGAAGGGGGCUAGCGUUGUUCGGAUUUACUGGGCGUAAAGCGCACGUAGGCGGACUUUUAAGUCAGGGGUGAAAUCCCGGGGCUCAACCCCGGAACUGCCUUUGAUACUGGGAGUCUUGAGUUCGAGAGAGGUGAGUGGAAUUGCGAGUGUAGAGGUGAAAUUCGUAGAUAUUCGGAAGAACACCAGUGGCGAAGGCGGCUCACUGGCUCAUUCUAGACGCUGAGGUGCGAAAGCGUGGGGAGCAAACAGGAUUAGAUACCCCAGUAGUCCCUGUCUCUUAUAC
rnacentral:rRNA from 1 species